GCCAACGUGGGACAAUGGUACUCCGGCGGUCUUGAGAACCGCUUUCCGUAAGGAUCUCCCGGUUCGAUUCCGGGCGUUGGCG
rnacentral:tRNA from 1 species